rnacentral:miRNA from 1 species
AACUAAGUUUGUUAUUGGUAUGAGCUUUCGUGUGCAUGCACACUUCUUCACAUACACACUUCAGAUAUUUGAAGAAGUGUGCAUGAACAAGAAAGCUCAUACCAAUAACAAACUUAGUUGG